GAUAGCGAUAUGUCAUUUGUGAGCUCCAACAGCAGGCCAAGCGGUGAUCAGAUGUCGUCUUUUCUCAAUGAUAUGGUGGAAUUUGGAAAAACUCCACGCCUAUCAUCAAGCUCAGAUGGUAGCUUUGGCUCUGGGCACAAUUCCUUCUCUGAUUUAU